UACGUAAGUGGCGAGCGUUAUCCGGAAUUACUGGGCGUAAAGGGUGUGUAGGCGGUUUUCUAAGUUUGGUGUGAAAUCUCCCGGCUCAACCGGGAGGGUGCGCCGAAAACUGGGAGACUAGAGUGCGGGAUGGGAGAGUAGAAUUCCUGGUGUAGCGGUGAAAUGCGUAGAUAUCAGGAGGAAUACCGGUGGUGUAGACGGCUCUCUGGACCGCCACUGACGCUGAGACACGAAAGCGUGGGUAGCAAACAGG
rnacentral:rRNA from 1 species